UUGCCUACGGGAGGCAGCAGUAGGGAAUCUUCCACAAUGGGGGAAACCCUGAUGCAGCGACGCCGCGUGAGUGAGGAAGUAUUUCGGUAUGUAAAGCUCUAUCAGCGGGGAAGAAAAUGACGGUACCUGACUAAGAAGCCCCGGCUAACUACGUGCCAGCAGCCGCGGUAAUACGUAGGGGGCAAGCGUUAUCCGGAUUUACUGGGGGUAAAGGGAGCGUAGACGGCCAGACAAGUCAGAAGUGAAAGCCCAGGG
rnacentral:rRNA from 1 species